rnacentral:rRNA from 1 species
GAUGAACGCUGGCGGCGUGCCUAAUACAUGCAAGUCGAGCGAACAGACGAGGAGCUUGCUCCUCUGACGUUAGCGGCGGACGGGUGAGUAACACGUGGAUAACCUACCUAUAAGACUGGGAUAACUUCGGGAAACCGUAGCUAAUACCGGAUAAUAUAUUGAACCGCAUGUUUCAUUAGUGAAAGACGGUUUUGCUGUCACUUAUAGAUGUAUCCGCGUCGCUUUAGCUAGUUGGUAAGGUAACGGCUUACCAAGGGAACGAUGCGUAGCCGACCUGAGAGGGUGAUCGGCCACACUGGAAUUGAGACACGGCCCAGACUCCUACGGGAGGAAGCAGUAGGGAAUCUUCGGCAAUGGGGGAAAGCCUGACGGAGAAAGGCGGCGUGAGUGAUGAAGGUCUUGGGAUCGAAAAACUCUGUUAAUAGGGAGGAACAGAUGUGUAAGUAAAUAUGCACGUUUUGACGGUACCUAAUCAGAAAGCCACGGCUAACUACGUG